GCCGAAACGGCCCGAUGAGGGCCGUCUGCCGGGAAUGGCCGCCCGGCACUGAUGAUGGCAGGCC
rnacentral:hammerhead_ribozyme from 1 species